GGGUUGUGAGGUUAAGCGACUAAGCGUACACGGUGGAUGCCCUGGCAGUCAGAGGCGAUGAAGGGCGUGCUAAUCUGCGAUAAGCGCCGGUAAGGUGAUAUGAACCGUUAUAACCGGCGAUACCCGAAUGGGGAAACCCAGUGUGACUCGUCACACUAUCAUUAACUGAAUCCAUAGGUUAAUGAGGCGAACCGGGGGAACUGAAACAUCUAAGUACCCCGAGGAAAAGAAAUCAACCGAGAUUCCCCCAGUAGCGGCGAGCGAACGGGGAGGAGCCCAGAGCCUGAAUCAGCAUGUGUGUUAGUGGAAGCGUCUGGAAAGGCGCGCGAUACAGGGUGACAGCCCCGUACACAAAAGCGCAUGUGCUGUGAGCUCGAUGAGUAGGGCGGGACACGUGGUAUCCUGUCUGAAUAUGGGGGGACCAUCCUCCAAGGCUAAAUACUCCUGACUGACCGAUAGUGAACCAGUACCGUGAGGGAAAGGCGAAAAGAACCCCGGCGAGGGGAGUGAAAAAGAACCUGAAACCGUGUACGUACAAGCAGUGGGAGCNNGUGACUGCGUACCUUUUGUAUAAUGGGUCAGCGACUUAUAUUCUGUAGCAAGGUUAACCGAAUAGGGGAGCCGGAGGGAAACCGAGUCUUAAUUGGGCGUUAAGUUGCAGGGUAUAGACCCGAAACCCGGUGAUCUAGCCAUGGGCAGGUUGAAGGUUGGGUAACACUAACUGGAGGACCGAACCGACUAAUGUUGAAAAAUUAGCGGAUGACCUGUGGCUGGGGGUGAAAGGCCAAUCAAACCGGGAGAUAGCUGGUUCUCCCCGAAAGCUAUUUAGGUAGCGCCUCGUGAAUUCAUCUCCGGGGGUAGAGCACUGUUUCGGCUAGGGGGCCAUCCCGGCUUACCAACCCGAUGCAAACUGCGAAUACCGGAGAAUGUUAUCACGGGAGACACACGGCGGGUGCUAACGUCCGUCGUGAAGAGGGAAACAACCCAGACCGCCAGCUAAGGUCCCAAAGUCAUGGUUAAGUGGGAAACGAUGUGGGAAGGCCCAGACAGCCAGGAUGUUGGCUUAGAAGCAGCCAUCAUUUAAAGAAAGCGUAAUAGCUCACUGGUCGAGUCGGCCUGCGCGGAAGAUGUAACGGGGCUAAACCAUGCACCGAAGCUGCGGCAGCGANNGUUGGGUAGGGGAGCGUUCUGUAAGCCUGCGAAGGUGGCCUGUGAGGGUUGCUGGAGGUAUCAGAAGUGCGAAUGCUGACAUAAGUAACGAUAAAGCGGGUGAAAAGCCCGCUCGCCGGAAGACCAAGGGUUCCUGUCCAACGUUAAUCGGGGCAGGGUGAGUCGACCCCUAAGGCGAGGCCGAAAGGCGUAGUCGAUGGGAAACGGGUUAAUAUUCCCGUACUUGGUGUUACUGCGAAGGGGGGACGGAGAAGGCUAUGUUGGCCGGGCGACGGUUGUCCCGGUUUAAGCGUGUAGGUGUGUGUUCCAGGUAAAUCCGGUUCACUUUAACACUGAGGCGUGAUGACGAGGCACUACGGUGCUGAAGCAACAAAUGCCCUGCUUCCAGGAAAAGCCUCUAAGCAUCAGGUAACAUCAAAUCGUACCCCAAACCGACACAGGUGGUCAGGUAGAGAAUACCAAGGCGCUUGAGAGAACUCGGGUGAAGGAACUAGGCAAAAUGGUGCCGUAACUUCGGGAGAAGGCACGCUGACACGUAGGUGAAGUGAUUUACUCAUGGAGCUGAAGUCAGUCGAAGAUACCAGCUGGCUGCAACUGUUUAUUAAAAACACAGCACUGUGCAAACACGAAAGUGGACGUAUACGGUGUGACGCCUGCCCGGUGCCGGAAGGUUAAUUGAUGGGGUCAGCGCAAGCGAAGCUCCUGAUCGAAGCCCCGGUAAACGGCGGCCGUAACUAUAACGGUCCUAAGGUAGCGAAAUUCCUUGUCGGGUAAGUUCCGACCUGCACGAAUGGCGUAAUGAUGGCCAGGCUGUCUCCACCCGAGACUCAGUGAAAUUGAACUCGCUGUGAAGAUGCAGUGUACCCGCGGCAAGACGGAAAGACCCCGUGAACCUUUACUAUAGCUUGACACUGAACAUUGAGCCUUGAUGUGUAGGAUAGGUGGGAGGCUUUGAAGCGUGGACGCCAGUCUGCGUGGAGCCGACCUUGAAAUACCACCCUUUAAUGUUUGAUGUUCUAACGUGGACCCGUAAUCCGGGUUGCGGACAGUGUCUGGUGGGUAGUUUGACUGGGGCGGUCUCCUCCUAAAGAGUAACGGAGGAGCACGAAGGUUGGCUAAUCCUGGUCGGACAUCAGGAGGUUAGUGCAAUGGCAUAAGCCAGCUUGACUGCGAGCGUGACGGCGCGAGCAGGUGCGAAAGCAGGUCAUAGUGAUCCGGUGGUUCUGAAUGGAAGGGCCAUCGCUCAACGGAUAAAAGGUACUCCGGGGAUAACAGGCUGAUACCGCCCAAGAGUUCAUAUCGACGGCGGUGUUUGGCACCUCGAUGUCGGCUCAUCACAUCCUGGGGCUGAAGUAGGUCCCAAGGGUAUGGCUGUUCGCCAUUUAAAGUGGUACGCGAGCUGGGUUUAGAACGUCGUGAGACAGUUCGGUCCCUAUCUGCCGUGGGCGCUGGAGAACUGAGGGGGGCUGCUCCUAGUACGAGAGGACCGGAGUGGACGCAUCACUGGUGUUCGGGUUGUCAUGCCAAUGGCACUGCCCGGUAGCUAAAUGCGGAAGAGAUAAGUGCUGAAAGCAUCUAAGCACGAAACUUGCCCCGAGAUGAGUUCUCCCUGAGACUUAGAGUCUCCUGAAGGAACGUUGAAGACGACGACGUUGAUAGGCCGGGUGUGUAAGCGCAGCGAUGCGUUGAGCUAACCGGUACUAAUGAACCGUGAGGCUUAACCUUACAACGCCGAAG
rnacentral:rRNA from 2 species